NNNNNNNNNNNNNNNNNNNNNNNNNNNNNNNNNNNNNNGCCCCCGCACCCGCGGCAGCAAUUAUUACUGAGCGUCCUUAUAGCGCCUGCACCGCUGCUGGUCCCAAGGCGCGUGCAGGCAGGCAGCAGCCCCGCGAGCCGCCUGCCACAGGGGAGAGGUGGGCAAGACCCUGCGAGACGGGGCACAAGGGACACAGGCGAGCCACCGGAAAAUGAUGUGACAAGCCCUGGCUGGCGCACAGAGGUGAGCUCCGAUUAAAGCAGAAGCCCUGAGGAUGUGCUGGGAAAGCAGAACGACGCCCCUGAGAUACAGCUCAGCGGUUUGCAGCCAACCUACGGCGCGGUGCAAGGUGCUAAGGCAAGCAGGAACGACCUCCCGGCUCCUGAGCCUCAAAGCUGAUCACAGCCUCCUGCCUCUGCACCCGCAUCCAUAUCCACAUCUGCACUUGUAUCCACAUACACAUCUGCACCUGCACCCAUAUCUACAUCAGCACCUGCAUCCAUAUUGCAGCCAACCUACGGCGCGGUGCAAGGUGCUAAGGCAAGCAGGAACGACCUCCCGGCUCCUGAGCCUCAAAGCUGAUCACACCGUCCUGCCUCUGCACCCGCAUCCAUAUCCACAUCUGCACUUGUAUCCACAUACACAUCUGCACCUGCAUCCACAUCAGCACCUGCAUCCACAUUCACAUCUGCACCUGCAUCCACAUCUGCACCUGCAUCCAUAUACACAUCCGCACCUACAUCCACAUCAGCACAUACAUCCACAUCAACACCUGCAUCCACAUACACAUCUGCACCUGCACCCAUAUCUACAUCAGCACCUGCAUUCACAUCUGCACCUGCAUCCACAUCUGCACCUGCAUCCAUAUACACAUCCGCACCUACAUCCACAUCAGCACAUACAUCCACAUCAACACCUGCAUCCACAUACACAUCUGCACCUGCAUCCACAUCAGCACCUGCAUCCACAUUCACAUCUGCACCUGCAUCCACAUCUGCACCUGCAUCCAUAUACACAUCCGCACCUACAUCCACAUCAGCACAUACAUCCACAUCAACACCUGCAUCCACAUACACAUCUGCACCUGCACC
rnacentral:lncRNA from 1 species